GUCCAAAAGUUGACUUAUGGUGCCAUAUUGCUUACUAGUCUCACAAAGGGUGCACAUAGGAGCCCAAAUUUGUGAAGAAGUGUGUAACAACUAGCCCUCAAAAUGGAUGAAAGUGUAUGAUCUAUACUAGACCAUCAUAGAAAUUUCCAAGAAAUUUCCAAGCCCUAAUAAGUAGGAGAACAUGAUGAUCAUUAAUAAGUAAGAGAACAUGUGGAUCACUAAGAAACCUAAGGUGUAAAUCUAAGCAAAUUGAUCCUAGAUCAUAGUUGUAGUAGGAAAUAUUCAAAUGAGAACUUUGAAGAUUAAAGUAGGGAAAAUGCUCCAUAUGGUAGACCACUCACUAUUUUCUCUGACUCUAAAGUCAGGGUCUCAUU
rnacentral:ncRNA from 1 species